ensembl:lncRNA
CUUUUUGAUAUUUAAACAGUGAACAAGCAACCAAAAUAUUCCAAACAGGAAACGGCUUCACCCUUUAAAAUUUUUAUUUUCUGUUUAAUGUAGUUUGUUCUUCUCAAAACAAACAAAAAAAUACUUCCACUAGCCCCGCCCUCAGUGUCUGCAGGGUCUUUGUGCCCACUUGUCUGCCGUAGCUGGUGGAGAGAAGGAUGGAGCAUGGGCGGGGCUAACGUCCUUUUCUGCUAAAACAACUCGCAAACUUUGAUAAUACCUUAAAACUGCCCUAGCACGGAAAUGGUAUAUACAGAGCCGAGUGGAAAUGUCCCACAGCUGAGGGCGGGUCUGCGCCCAGAUUGUUGAUGCACACUCAUGUGAGCUAGCAAGUCGUGAUAAAAUUGUUCACUGUACAGUUUAAGGCAUUGCAACAAAAACAGGGGGUGGGGAUUGUUUCAGAAAAAUAAAGAAAAAAUUUACAUUAUAUACACAAAAGGGUGGAGCUUAAGGCGAAAUCCGUAAGAUAUCGUGUCUAACGUAAUUUGUCACCUUGACUAGCUAACUACAUGAACGUAGCUAUAAUAACAAUAUUUGCUAGCGUUAAUAUGGCAUGACAAAAUAAAUCACGGUGUUUCUCAAGCAAGCUAGCUAACUAACAAGCACCAAGAAAUAUUGUGACCUUGUCAUGAUAGUUUAACUUAAGCUCCACCCUUAUCAAUAACACGACCAAGAGGAGGAAAUUUAAAGUAAAAAGAAAAUGUAUACAUGAAGAGGAAGGAGGAAAAUAGUUGGCAUGUGCCGAUAAAUCAUUUUUCUGUGUGUGAUUUACGAUAUAAUUUCAAAUUUAGCCAAAAAUGAUAAUCUGUUCCGCUAGGUCACCACAAACUGGCUUCCUAUUCGUACAGCAACGCUGCUAGCGUCUCAGCUUUGCUAAUCAGAACAGUGGUCGUCUGUCUUGUGUAUGCUGUAUACUGUGAUAUCUGACUAACCGAUUAUCGGCACACGCCUUGAAAACUGAGGAAGUAAGUGUGUGAAAAGGCGAGAGGAGCCAGGUCUGUGUGUCGGAAGCCUCAGACGGACCGUGACGCUCCGAUCACACGGAUGCUGUCGAAACAAAGAGAAGUCAGAUCAGGACGCAGUCAAGGUUCACGCUCUUUUUUUAUAAAUAAAUAAAUAAAUAAAUAAAUAAAUAAAUAAAAACAAACUACUUUGUGAAAUGCAUGGUAGCUGAACUGGUGAUUUGUGAGAAGAAGCUGGUGUUUUACCUGUCCUCACACUGAAACCUGGUGGUUUCACUCGUUCUUCUUCCUCGAGGACCUGCAGCAGUCUUUCUCUCUUCCUGCAGUUCUAAUCCUCUAAGAAAAGGAACUUCCACUGUGUUGUUCUUUACAAGUUCUCCAUCCAUAUCCAAGGGUUUAACACACCCUAAUGUUCUCCAGAAGCUCAUCUGCUGUGGACUUUUCUAGGAAACAUUGAGUUAAAAUCCACUGUUUCAGCAACAGUGCUGGAUUUUCCUUCAUAUGCCAAAGACCACUCUAGUCCGCUUCUCGAGACCACCCUUCCACCCCCCCAAAACAUUACAGGAG